rnacentral:rRNA from 1 species
UGCGUGAAGCUGGAAUCGCUAGUAAUCGCGGAUCAGAAUGCCGCGGUGAAUACGUUCCCGGGUCUUGUACACACCGCCCGUCACACCAUGGGAGCCGGAAACGCCCGAAGCCAGUGGCCUGACCGCGAGGAGGGAGCUGUCGAAGGCGGGUCCGGUGACCGGGGCGAAGUCGUAACAAGGUAAC